GGGGAAUUUUCCGCAAUGGGCGAAACCCUGACGGAGCAAUACCGCGUGAAGGAUGAAGGCCUAUGGGUUGUAAACUUCUUUUCUUAGAGAAGAAUUUUGACGGUAUCUAAGGAAUAAGCAUCGGCUAACUCUGUGCCAGCAGCCGCGGUAAUACAGAGGAUGCAAGCGUUAUCCGGAAUGAUUGGGCGUAAAGCGUCUGUAGGUGGUUUACCAAGUCUUCUGUCAAAGAUCAGGGCUUAACCCUGGGCAGGCAGGAGAAACUAAUAGACUAGAGUUCGGUAGAGGCAGAGGGAAUUCCCGGUGGAGCGGUGAAAUGCGUAGAGAUCGGGAGGAACACCAAGGGCGAAGGCACUCUGCUGGGCCGCGACUGACACUGAGAGACGAAAGCGAGGGGAGCAAAUGGGAUUAGAUA
rnacentral:rRNA from 1 species